rnacentral:lncRNA from 1 species
GGGGAGGAGGAGAGGAGGGGGAGGGGAAGAGGGAGGGAGGGAAGGAGCUGGCUCGCUUUCACGCUGUCCCGAGGAAGUCCAAGCCAGCUUAAUGGUGUUUGGUGUCAAUGAGGCUCAUGGUGAAUACAUCAGGGUCGCCCAGAUGGUGAAUACUGGAGCCAAGAUGCAAGCAUGGAUCCCUCUGACUUCAGAUCUGAUGCUUACUGUAUGGGCAGCCCAUGUUGCUUGGAUGGCCUUCUCAACUUGAGAACUUCCUAAUGCUUUGCUUUAAAAACAAACAAACAAACAGGGCAGGAACUAGUUAAAUGAGCUCAGACAUUUAGAUUUAGUCUAGUCUUCAGUCUCAGAGAGGUGGAGCAACUUGCCCUAAAUCCCAGAGGCUGGACCAAGAUCUACACUCCUUUCACUAAACCACAACUGCUAUUCCUCAC